rnacentral:rRNA from 1 species
CACGAGACCGAUAGCGAACAAGUACCAUGAGGGAAAGUUGAAAAGAACUUUGAAGAGAGAGUUCAAGAGUACGUGAAACCGUUCAGGGGUAAACCUGAGAAACCCGAAAAUUCGAAUGGGGAGAUUCAUCGUCAGUGGUGCUGGCUUCGCAGUGGUGGGCGAUGCUAUGGGCUGCGGUUCAUGGCACGCUGCCGCUGUGUAUGUCCGGUGUCGUCGUCGUGCACUUCUCCCCUAGUAGGACGUCGCGACCCGCUGGGUGUUGGACUACGGCCUGGUUGGUAGCCUGUCUCGUCGCUUCGGCGUUCGUGACAGACCUUCAGUGUCUCCCGUCCAACUGCUCGGCGGUAUUUUGAGAUAGUAUUCGGCCGCAACAGAUUUUUGCGAGUUGCGUCAUUGGCCCGUGGCAAGCGCGGUCAGUGUCCCGUGUGGUACGGACUCAGUGCCGACGCCGGGCCUGGCCAGCUGUUGGCUCACGGUGUCCUCUGACAGGCCGCU